CCUACGGGUGGCAGCAGUGGGGAAUAUUGGACAAUGGGCGAAAGCCUGAUCCAGCCAUGCCGCGUGUGUGAAGAAGGCCUUCGGGUUGUAAAGCACUUUCAGUGGGGAAGAAAGCCUUGGGGCUAAUACCCUCGAGGAAGGACAUCACCCACAGAAGAAGCACCGGCUAACUCCGUGCCAGCAGCCGCGGUAAUACGGAGGGUGCGAGCGUUAAUCGGAAUUACUGGGCGUAAAGCGCGCGUAGGCGGUCUGAUAAGCCGGUUGUGAAAGCCCCGGGCUCAACCUGGGAACGGCAUCCGGAACUGUCAGGCUAGAGUGCAGGAGAGGAAGGUAGAAUUCCCGGUGUAGCGGUGAAAUGCGUAGAGAUCGGGAGGAAUACCAGUGGCGAAGGCGGUCUUCUGGACUGACACUGACGCUGAGGUGCGAAAGCGUGGGUAGCAAACAGGAUUAGAUACCCAGUAGUC
rnacentral:rRNA from 1 species